rnacentral:rRNA from 1 species
UACGUAGGGUGCGAGCGUUAAUCGGAAUUACUGGGCGUAAAGCGUGCGCAGGCGGUUUUGUAAGCCAGAUGUGAAAGCCCCGGGCUUAACCUGGGAAUGGCAUUUGGGACUGCAAGGCUGGAGUGUGGCAGAGGAGACUGGAAUUCCUGGUGUAGCAGUGAAAUGCGUAGAUAUCAGGAGGAAUACCGAUGGCGAAGGUAGGUCUCUGGGCUGACACUGACGCUCAUGCACGAAAGCGUGGGGAGCAAACAGG